GUCAGAGUGGAAUGAACUCAGAGCGGUGAAGACACAGACCAAGCAAAACCAUGGAUGUUGUAAAUGCUGUGAAAAUGAUCGUACUGGUUUGGACUUUCGCAUCUGUCUGUGAGGCCAGUGAUGAUUCAUGUACCUUCAGUUCAAGCUGUGCUGAUGUGACUGGUACUGUGCAUGAAGAACUAACUCUCACUUGCAGCAUCUCACUGAACUGCACUAAAGAAGCUGAUAAAUGCUGCAUUAUAUCGUACAUGUUUAAGGAUGAAAACACCACAGUAAUCUACAAAAAGGAGUUUCCUAACAAGACCUCUCCUAACAAGACCUGUGAACAAAAGAUCAAAGCCACAUAUGUUUACAAAUCAAGUAAAAACAUCACAGCAAAAUUUACAUUAUUUUCCCAAACAAAUUGUGAGACAAAGGAAACAGAAUUCAUCGUUAACGUAACAGAGUCUGGAGAUAAACCCACCAAUACAGAUACUGUUAAGAAAGGUGAAGCAAAGCUGACAACAUCUGAGGUCACUGUCAUUGUGUUCGCCAUAAUUGUCUUCAUCAUCAUAAUGUUAAUCAUUUAUAGGAAAUACAAUCCCACAAUCCCUUGUCGACACCAGAGAGACUAUAAAACAGCUGAUUCUGCCACAAAAGAUGAUGACAACGGUGAAUAGUCAGAAUGAGCUUCUCAGCCGCACAGCUGGACUGUGUAGCAGUUGUGUUUCACAUCCAGUGCAGGUCAUGAGCCUUUAAACAUGUUUAUAAAAGUGUGUACAGAGGAAUCAUAACUGUCUGUGUUAUUUGGUCUACUCAGUGCACUCUUAUCCUAAGCUGUAUGUUCUGUUUUAUAUUGAUUUCUGUGAAAUAACAGAAUGCUGUCGAUCUGUUUGAUCAGAUUACUGUAUACAGUAAUUAUGUUGAAUGUUCUCAAGUCCUUACACUCUCAGAAAAAAAAAGGUACAAAAUCUGUCACUGGGACGGUACCAGUGUUGGGAAGGUUACUUUGGCAAUGUAACAGGUUACAGAUUACAAGUUACCCUAUUUAAUAAGUAGUGUAACUAUUUCAGUUACUUUAUUGGAGUUACUGAUUACAUUUGAUUACUUUUUGAUAACUUUUCUAAAUCUCUAAUGAAUGGUUAACCUCACACUAGAAAUCCCUGAUCACUUGAAUUAAGAUUAUAAUAAUGUUUUGGAAAAAAAUUUAAUCUUAAAAAAUAAAGCACAUACAUAAAACCAAAUUGGUGUCUCAUAUUUUAGAGCAGUCAAUGCAAUUUGGGAAAGAAAUCAGUCAAAUCUCUGUCUGUGUGUGUGUGUGUGUCUGUGUGUGUGUGUGUGUGUGUGUGUGUGUGUGUGUGUGUGUGUGUGUGUGUGUGUGUGUGUGUGUGUGUGUGUGUGUGUGUGUGUGUGUGUGUGUGUGAUUGUGUGUGAAAAUAUUCAGAUGUAACCCCCUUUGUAAUCGUUAACAUUUUCAUAAGUAAAUGUAAUCAGUAAGAUUACAGUUACAUUUAUUUUGUAAUUAAAUUACAUAAUUCUGUUACAUGUAACUAGUAACUCCCCAACCCUGGACGAUACCUUAUCAAAAGGUACACCUUUGUACCUUAUUUACCCCUAAACAGUGCAUAUUAGUACCUUAAAGUUACAAAUGAAUACCUUAAGUGUACAUAUUAGUACUUUUUAAAAAGGAACUGCACCAGUGUCAGCUUUUGUACCGUUUCUCUGAGUGUAUAAUCAAGCUCCUAUAUUGACAGGCCUCAGGAAUUUUCUUGGUUUGUUGGGUGUUGUUGUGUUUUUUUUUUUCUUUUUUUUUUCUGUAUCUUCAAACCCUACACAUGAUGUUACUCUUUCUCUGUUGAGUUUUUUAAAAAUACAAAUUAUUAAAGACUUUUGAUGCUCUGUAAUGAUCAAUGUUUGACUGCUUUUUAUUAUCUGGUUUGAUUGUUUUGUAUACCAUAUUAUCACAUUGAAUUAAAGUGAGAUUCUAGUUCGUUUGCUGGAUCCCAUAAUUAAAAUAUGCAGUGUUUUCUGCCAACUGGCAACCUGGGGUGUUAUAUAAAUAUAAAUACUAUUAGGCAAACUGGCAGAAAGCAGAGGCACACAGAUCAAAACAGAAACAGACAUUCUGACACUGAACACACAUUUCAAAGCAUAAUAUAGCCUAUAUAUAUCCUAAUUUUAAAAUAUAAUUUAUAAUCUAUCAUUUAAAAAAAAAAAAAACUUCAAAAGGGUUAAAUGCAUGUAUGUUUAUAGUUAAAUAUUUCAAAAUGAACCUUACAUUGAAG
ensembl:lncRNA